AACGAACGCUGGCGGCGUGGAUUAGGCAUGCAAGUCGAACGUGAAAGGGGCUUCGGCCCUGAGUAAAGUGGCAAACGGGUGAGUAACGCGUGGAGAACCUGCCCGGAAGCGGGGGAUAACACUUCUAACGAGGUGCUAAUACCGCAUGUGUCUGCGUGAGCGCAUGCUCGCGCAGGUAAACGUGGCCUCUGCCCGCAAGCUACGGCUUCCGGAUGGCUCUGCGCUCAUUAGCUAGUUGGUGGGGUAACGCUCACCAAGGCGACGAUGGGUAGCUGGUCUGAGAGGAUGGUCAGCCACACUGGGACUGAGAUACGGCCCAGACUCCUACGGGAGGCAGCAGUCGAGAGGCUUCCGCAAUGGGGAAACCCUGACGGAGCGACGCCGCGUGAGCGAUGAAGGCC
rnacentral:rRNA from 1 species